GACGAACGCUGGCGGCGUGCUUAACACAUGCAAGUCGAACGGAAAGGCCCUGCUUUUGUGGGGUGCUCGAGUGGCGAACGGGUGAGUAACACGUGAGUAACCUGCCCUUGACUUUGGGAUAACUUCGGGAAACUGGGGCUAAUACCGGAUAGGAGCUCCUGCUGCGUGGUGGGGGUUGGAAAGUUUCGGCGGUUGGGGAUGGACUCGCGGCUUAUCAGCUUGUUGGUGGGGUAGUGGCUUACCAAGGCUUUGACGGGUAGCCGGCCUGAGAGGGUGACCGGCCACAUUGGGACUGAGAUACGGCCCAGACUCCUACGGGAGGCAGCAGUGGGGAAUAUUGCACAAUGGGCGGAGGCCUGAUGCAGCAACGCCGCGUGCGGGAUGACGGCCUUCGGGUUGUAAACCGCUUUCGCCUGUGACGAAGCGUGAGUGACGGUAAUGGGUAAAGAAGCACCGGCUAACUACGUG
rnacentral:rRNA from 1 species